rnacentral:rRNA from 1 species
AUUGAACGCUGGCGGCAUGCCUUACACAUGCAAGUCGAACGGUAACGCGGGGCAACCUGGCGACGAGUGGCGAACGGGUGAGUAAUACAUCGGAAUGCGCCCAGUAGUGGGGGAUAGCCCGGCGAAAGCCGGAUUAAUACCGCACACGACCUACGGGUGAAAGCGGGGGAUCGCAAGACCUCGCGCUAUUGGAGCGGCCGAUGUCAGAUUAGCUAGUUGGUGGGGUAAAAGCCUACCAAGGCGACGAUCUGUAGCUGGUCUGAGAGGACGACCAGCCACACUGGGAAUGAGACACGGCCCAGACUCCUACGGGAGGCAGCAGUGGGGAAUUUUGGACAAUGGGGGCAACCCUGAUCCAGCCAUGCCGCGUGCGGGAAGAAGGCCUUCGGGUUGUAAACCGCUUUUGUCGGGGAAGAAACGGUCUGCGCUAAUACCGCGGACUAAUGACGGUACCCGAAGAAUAAGCACCGGCUAACUACGUGCCAGCCGCCGCGGUAAGAC